rnacentral:rRNA from 1 species
AAUUAUAUGCUUGUCUCAAAGACUAAGCCAUGCAUGUCUAAGUACAGACUACGAUAAUCAAAGUGACACUGCGAAUGGCUCAGUAUAUCAGUUGUGGUUCCUUAGACAGUACCAUCCUACUUGGAUAACUGUGGCAAUUCUAGAGCUAAUACAUGCAAGAAAGCUCCGCACCUCGCUGGCCGAGGUGUAACAAGAGCGCCUUAUUUACUCUCACAAAGCCAAACCCGGGCUGGUCCCGGCGAAUUGAAACACGUUGACUCAGAAAUAACCACUGGCUGAUCGCACGGCCUUGCGCCGGCGACGUAUCUUUCAAACGUCUGCCCUAUCACACUGUCGACGGUACGGGCUGGGCGUACCAUGGUGAUAACGGGUAACGGGGAAUCAGGGUUCGAUUCCGGAGAGGGAGCAUGCGAAACGGCUACCACAUCCAAGGAAGGCAGCAGGCACGCAAAUUACCCACUCCCGACACGGGGAGGUAGUGACGAAAAAUAACAAUACGGGACUCUUUCGAGGCCCCGCAAUUGGAAUGGGUGCACUGUAAAGAAGUGUACGAGUAGCGAUUGGAGGGCAAGUCUGGUGCCAGCAGCCGCGGUAAUUCCAGCUCCAAUAGCGUAUAUUAAAGUUGUUGCGUUUAAAAAGCUCGUAGUUGGAUCUCGGAGAACAGGCGUGCGGCCCUCCGCCGAGGCGGUCUGGGACUACCCCGCAUCGCUUUCUGUACUCAUACAGGCUGGUUGGUGCUUCGCGGCGCCGUACCCCUGGGGCUCUUGAGUGAGCGUCUCGGGUGACCAGCUCGGUUACUUUGAAAAAAUGAGAGAGUUCAAAUCAGGCACAAGUUGCCGGCAUCAUGUCGCAUGGAAUAACGGAACAGGACCUCGGUUCUGAAUGUUCGUUGGCUUACCGAACCUGAGGCAAUGAUUGAGAGGGGCGGACGGGGGCAUUCGUACUGCGAUGUUAGAGGUGAAAUUCUUGGAUCAUCGCAAGACGGUCCUAGAGCGAAAGCAUUUGUCAAGAAUGUUUUCCUUAGUCAAGAACGAAAGUCAGAGGUUCGAAGACGAUUAGAUACCGUCGUAGUUCUGACCAUAAACUAUGCCAACUCGUAAUCCGCCCGAGUAAAUAUCGUACUUCCUGACGGGCAACCCCGGUAAACCUCAAGUUUUUGGGUUCCGGGGGGAGUAUGGUUGCAAAGCUGAAACUUAAAGGAAUUGACGGAAGGGCACCACCAGGAGUGGAGCCUGCGGCUUAAUUUGACUCAACACGGGAAAACUCACCCGGUCCGGACAUCGGAAGGAUUGACAGAUUGAUAGCUCUUUCUCGAUUCGAUGGUUGGUGGUGCAUGGCCGUUCCUAGUUCGUGGAACGAUUUGUCUGGUUAAUUCCGACAACGAACGAGACUCUAGUCCGCUAAUUAGUUCCCGGAAGAUAACACGGCUUCCUCGGCGAACUUCUUAGAGAUACAAGUGGCGUAAAAGCCACGCGAGAUUGAGCGAAAACAGGUCUGUGAUGCCCUUAGAUGUCCGGGGCCGCACGUGCGCUACACUGAAUGGAUCAGCGGGGUUGUGCCUUGCCCGAAAGGGUCGGGGAAUCCGUUGAAACCCAUUCGUGCUAGGGACUGGGGCCUGGAAUUGUUCCCCACGAACGAGGAAUUCCUAGUAAGCGCCAGUCAAGAGCUGGCGUUGAUUACGUCCCUGCCCUUUGUACACACCGCCCGUCGCUACUACCGAUCGUCCCGGUUAAUGAGCGGUCCGGAUUGGACGCCAUUACGGGCCGUUCGUCGUGUCACGCCCCAUCUAUUACGGGUGGUGGUAGGCGCGCGCCGGCCCGUUGGCUGUUUGCCGAGAAGAAUUGCGAAUUUGCCCGGGAUAGAGGAAGUAAAAGUC